rnacentral:rRNA from 1 species
UACGUAGGGUGCGAGCGUUGUCCGGAAUUAUUGGGCGUAAAGAGCUCGUAGGUCGGUUUGUCACGUCUGCUGAUCGAAAUCCCGAGGCUCAACCUCGGGCCUGCAGUGGGUACGGGCAGACUGGAGUGCGGUAGGGGAGAAUGGAAUUCCUGGUGUAGCGGUGGAAUGCGCAGAUAUCAGGAGGAACACCGAUGGCGAAGGCAGUUCUCUGGGCCGUAACUGACGCUGAGGAGCGAAAGCGUGGGGAGCGAACAGG